UACGUAGGGACCAAGCGUUGUUCGGAUUUACUGGGCGUAAAGGGCGCGUAGGCGGCGCGGUAAGUCACUUGUGAAAUCUCUGAGCUUAACUCAGAACGGCCAAGUGAUACUGCAGUGCUAGAGUGUGGAAGGGGCAAUCGGAAUUCUUGGUGUAGCGGUGAAAUGCGUAGAUAUUCGGAGGAACACCAGUGGCGAAGGCGGCUCACUGGUCCAUUACUGACGCUGAGGUGCGAAAGCGUGGGGAGCAAACAGG
rnacentral:rRNA from 1 species